CAGGAAACGAUACCAUAACUGACAAAUGAAUUAUUGUUUAUAGGGAAGUCAACCAUCAUAGAACAAUUAUGAGAGUGAAGAUAAGCUGAAGUAAACUAUCGUUUGCGGGUAUGUCAGAAGAUAAACGAGAACUGAUCGUUUGGAAUCCGGGUUCGAGAUCCAGUUCUGGAUUCUUCAUGGUCUAUGCCAAACUUCUAAAGUCGAAGAAUUUCAACAAUAACUCUUUCGACGUUGAUUUUGAAGCAUUUUAAACAGGU